ACAUUUCCUGCACACUCAGCAUGGCGUGUAAACACAGACAUUAGAUUUCUGACCUUAAAGGAACACGCCAAAGAAAUGAUACUCUGUGUAAUACUUACUGCUGGCCCUAAAGCGGGUGUGUGGAUCUGUGAGUCAUGCACUGCCCCUCCGGUCCUACAAUAGACAUAAUAUACCGUACGGCAUUGGUUUUGCCGGGAAUGUUUCUUUAACAGAAGUCCUGUUCAUACAGCGCAGAUGAACCACACUAUUAUCAGGACACUGCAUAUAAAUAAUUUGGGAAGGAAUCUUUUAAUGAUGAUGACCCAUUAACCUAAUUCCAAAUUAAAGGAUUGAGACAUGAGUCAACAUAUAUGAGGUAUCUUAUAACUAAAGGAUUAAUCAAGAAUUUGGAUCAAGGAAGUUUGAAUAUUUGCAACCUAAUGUAGAAUGUAUGGUAAAUGUCUGUUUUAGACAACCGUGCCUAACAGACACUUCUGCCGGGUUCUGGCCGGAUGUGGCCACUUCCAUUCGGGACAUAGGCAAGUUACUAACAAAUACAGAUUAGCUGAAAUGACCAG